CAUUUGAACGCUAUUUUCGUUUUGUUCAACUUCAUGGACGUCGCAAUGGCAACGGCAGAAUGUCAGACCCACUCUGCUGGUGGGAGGCGGUAGCGAAGGCGGAAGGCCGCGAAGACUGCAAAGCAAUAAGAGGCUUGUCAGAAGGGCUGCUUACGUGCAGUUCCUCGUUAGUAUAGUGGACUUCUGAACUUCAAUGAGCAAACAUCAUGAGGUGUUCGGAGCGGUGCUGGGUACACAGAACACAACACCUGCGGGCCGGCCGCCCUCCAGUCAGCGCCGUGUGCAAACACGCCAUCAAGGCAGGUUUGGAGCCCUGACAUCUUGCUGUUGCCCCUGGGCUUUGGAAGCUUCUGUGGAGCAACCCCAGGCCCAGCAGUGAGGAGCCAAGCUUAGGGGAACCCGUAGUGUGAGGCAAAGCUGCCCAGCUGAGCCUGACCUCAAUUAGCCAGUCCUCAACUGACCCACAGUUUUGUUGAGAAGUAGUUGAUGUACACCACUGUAUACAUUUGAAGUGUACAGCAUGCUGGCUUGAUUUAUGGAUAUUGCGAAAUGAGUACUGCAGAUUUGGUUACCAUUCAUCAUCUCAUGGAGAUACAACAAAAAGAGAAGGAAGAAAAAUGUCCCCUUGUGAUGAAAAAUGGUAGAAUCUGGGACACCUGGGUGGCUCAGUUGUUGAGCGUCUGCCUUCGGUCCAGGGCGUGAUCCCGGGGUCCUGGGAUCAAGUCUCACAUCCGGCUCCCCAC